GUGGGGAAUAUUGCACAAUGGGCGAAAGCCUGAUGCAGCGACGCCGCGUGAGGGAUGACGGCCUUCGGGUUGUAAACCUCUUUCAGCAGGGAAGAAGCGCAAGUGACGGUACCUGCAGAAGAAGCGCCGGCUAACUACGUGCCAGCAGCCGCGGUAAUACGUAGGGCGCAAGCGUUGUCCGGAAUUAUUGGGCGUAAAGAGCUCGUAGGCGGUUUGUCGCGUCUGGUGUGAAAUCCCGAGGCUCAACCUCGGGCUUGCAUCGGGUACGGGCAGACUAGAGUGCGGUAGGGGAGACUGGAAUUCCUGGUGUAGCGGUGGAAUGCGCAGAUAUCAGGAGGAACACCGAUGGCGAAGGCAGGUCUCUGGGCCGCAACUGACGCUGAGGAGCGAAAGCAUGGGGAGCGAACAGGAUUAGAUACCCUGGUAGUCCAUGCCGUAAACGUUGGGCACUAGGUGUGGGGCUCAUUCCACGAGUUCCGUGCCGCAGCUAACGCAUUAAGUGCCCCGCCUGGGGAGUACGGCCGCAAGGCUAAAACUCAAAGGAAUUGACGGGGGCCCGCACAAGCGGCGGAGCAUGCGGAUUAAUUCGAUGCAACGCGAAGAACCUUACCAAGGCUUGACAUGCACCGGAAACACCUAGAGAUAGGUGCCCCGCA
rnacentral:rRNA from 1 species